GACGAACGCUGGCGGCGUGCUUAACACAUGCAAGUCGAGCGGUAAGGCCCUUUCGGGGGUACACGAGCGGCGAACGGGUGAGUAACACGUGGGUGACCUGCCCUCAGCUCUGGGAUAAGCCUGGGAAACUGGGUCUAAUACUGGAUAUGACUCCACGGUGCAUGUCGUGGGGUGGAAAGCCUUGUGCGGCUGAGGAUGGGCCCGCGGCCUAUCAGCUUCGUUGGUGGGGUGANGGCCUACCAAGGCGACGACGGGUAGCCGGCCUGAGAGGGCGACCGGCCACACUGGGACUGAGACACGGCCCAGACUCCUACGGGAGGCAGCAGUGGGGAAUCUUGCGCAAUGGGCGAAAGCCUGACGCAGCGACGCCGCGUGAGGGAUGACGGCCUCGG
rnacentral:rRNA from 1 species